rnacentral:rRNA from 1 species
AUGGCUCGGAUCGACAACGAGGCAGCCAUCCGCCGCAUCCCGAGCUACCUACAAGAUCCCCUCGAUCCCCUGGCGAACCCUAGAUCACCACUCCUCCCCUCUUUCGCUCGCCCCCUUUGUUUUCUCCAUCACCCGACGCUGCCGUCGCCGUGCGCCGCUCGAUCCCGCGGCCACCAUCCUCCUGUGGCCCCACCGCCAUGCGGUAGGGCUUCGCCGUCGUCUUCCACGCCGUAUGGUGCUAGCCAUUCGAGCCGGGAGCACCUACGUCGAGACUGGCGGCAUCAUCUUCUUCCCGUCGUCCGCUCCGAUCGCCGUCGUUCGUUGUCGAAUCGGCCGGCCUCUGCUGCUCCUAAGCCACCGCCGGGCCUUCGUGUGCCUCCCCGACCAACGUUGAUGCGGCUGAGUACGACUACAUCCCCGACGACCCCUCCUUGCCAGAGCAACCAGAUGUCGGAGCCAGAUGCCACCGUCGAUGCCUACUACUACGUGGAGACCAUCGACGACCAGGAGUAG